GAUGAAGAACGUAGUGAAAUGCGAUAAGUAAUGUGAAUUGCAGAAUCCAGUGAAUCAUCGAAUCUUUGAACGCACAUUGCGCCCGCCAGCAUUCUGGCGGGCAUGCCUGUUCGAGCGUCAUUUCAACCCUCGACCUCCCCUUGGGGAGGUCGGCGUUGGGGACCGGCAGCACACCGCCGGCCCUGAAAUGGAGUGGCGGCCCGUCCGCGGCGACCUCUGCGUAGUAAUACAGCUCGCACCGGAACCCCGACGCGGCCACGCCGUAAAACACCCAACUUCUGAACGUUGACCUCGAAUCAGGUAGGACUACCCGCUGAACUUAAGCAUAUCAAUAAGCGGAGGA
rnacentral:misc_RNA from 1 species